rnacentral:rRNA from 1 species
UACGUAGGGUGCGAGCGUUAAUCGGAAUUACUGGGCGUAAAGCGUGCGCAGGCGGUUCUGCAAGUCCGGUGUGAAAGCCCCGGGCUCAACCUGGGAAUGGCAGUGGAAACUAGGGGACUGGAAUCUGGCAGAGGGGGGUGGAAUGCCGCGUGUAGCAGUGAAAUGCGUAGAGAUGCGGCGGAACACCGAUGGCGAAGGCAGCCCCCUGGGCUGAGAUUGACGCUCAGGCACGAAAGCGUGGGGAGCAAACAGG